UUGAUUUCUUUCUUUUUUUUAAAUGUAGAUAAUUAGUGAUCUUUCCUCAUCCUUUAUUCAAUUAAGCAGAUAAAUCUUGGAUUCCACAUAUCUUGUCUACCACUGGAAUACUCCUGAUGUUUUCCCAGAAGCUUUCUUUCUACCAGACUGCUAACUCAAGAUCACCCUCACCUUCUGGAGGUCACCCCUCUUCAUCAGCAGUCCACAAGUAACUGUCUUGAUUUUUUGUUUUUCUCGAUAAAUAAGCUUCAAAUGAAAUAGGCUUUCGAUGUGACAGUGUUUACAGGAAACAUUAUGCUGUUACGAACUUCCCUUAGAAUCAACCCAUUUGUGAAACACCACAUUAAUAAGAGCAGUAUCUUUGGAGAUUGGAGAGUCCACCAAGGAUGCCCACUGGCUCCCUACAAAGUUUUUUAUGUGAGGACUCGGUCUCAGAUAUGGCUACUGGGAUUCUGUUCAAACUGAGUGAAGACAUCAUCAUCUUUCUUUGAGAUCUUCCUUGCUUUCUGGCCAAAGAAGUUAUUCCCUGACCCGACUUUCCAAAGAGUACUAGUUCCUUUUAGCAGUGAUUAGAAACCUGAUCUGAGUACUACUGUGUGUGCUUGUGACUAGUGUGGUUUUAUUGUUUCUAUGUCCUUUCAGCGAGCAGAUCUACAAUGAGGGAUACAUCUAAACAAAACUCCAUAUUAAUAAGUCCAGUUGAAAUCUAACAACAUAGGGUUCUUUCGCAUUCUCUUGCAUUCCAUAUUUGUAUAUUCGUUCACCCAUGGUGGCAACCCUGGCUAUUAGAAAUAUAAUUGUAUUUAUUUUGCUGUAUCCUACAAUAAAACAAAAAAAUUAAGAAUUACUAUACCAACAUCAUGAUAAAAAUACACAUACUAAGUAAAUCUGUUAUGUAAACUACAAGUGUGUUUGUAGCAUUUUUGUUUUUACACUAUAGCCUACUAAGUGUGCAAUUAGACUUCUUGCUCACUGGUUUCUGUUUACUUUUAAUUUUAGUAUUUACUCUUGUUUCCCUUCCUUUUUAAUUUUAUUUUUAAAAUUU
rnacentral:lncRNA from 1 species